AAGAAAAAAUGGAAAAUUAUUUACACAAAGUAAAAUCUAACUUGGCAGUCAGCGCUAUUUACUUAGAAAGAGGAAAUUAAUAUGCAUGACCAUCAGAUGUGUCUACAGUUCAGACACUUUGCAACCAUAACUGCAUGUAACAAAGGUUCAGAUUGGAACAGGAGCCUGCAAAACAUUCCCCAAAUAAAAAAUUGUAAGACAGACUGACAACUCAAAGGAUUAUACUUCAAGUGAGGCAAAAGAGUAGGAAA
rnacentral:lncRNA from 1 species